rnacentral:misc_RNA from 1 species
GAUGAAGAACGUAGCGAAAUGCGAUAAGUAGUGUGAAUUGCAGAAUUCAGUGAAUCAUCGAAUCUUUGAACGCACAUUUCGCCCCUUGGUAUUCCAUGGGGCAUGCCUGUUCGAGCGUCAUUUGUACCUUCAAGCUUUGCUUGGUGUUGGGUGUUUGUCUCGCCUUUGCGUGUAGACUCGCCUUAAAAUAAUUGGCAGCCGGCGUAUUGAUUUCGGAGCGCAGUACAUCUCGCGCUUUGCACUCAUAACGACAGCGUCCAAAAGUACAUUUUACACUCUUGACCUCGGAUCAGGUAGGGAUACCCGCUGAACUUAAGCAUAUCAAUAAGCGGAGGA